rnacentral:rRNA from 1 species
UAGGGAAUAUUGGACAAUGGGGGCAACCCUGAUCCAGCAAUGCCGCGUGAGUGAAGAAGGCCCUCGGGUUGUAAAGCUCUUUUGUCCGGAAAGAAAAGCUUCGGGUUAAUACCCCGGGGUUCUGACGGUACCGGAAGAAUAAGCACCGGCUAACUUCGUGCCAGCAGCCGCGGUAAUACGAAGGGUGCAAGCGUUACUCGGAAUUACUGGGCGUAAAGCGUGCGUAGGUGGUUGUUUAGGUCUGAUGUGAAAGCCCUGGGCUCAACCUGGGAAUGGCAUUGGAAACUGAGCAGCUAGAGUGCGGUAGAGGGUAGUGGGAUUCCCGGUGUAGCAGUGAAAUGCGUAGAGAUCGGGAGGAACAUCUGUGGCGAAGGCGACUGCCUGGACCAGCACUGACACUGAGGCACGAAAGCGUGGGGAGCAAACA